UACGUAGGGGGCUAGCGUUAUCCGGAUUUACUGGGCGUAAAGGGUGCGUAGGCGGUCUUUCAAGUCAGGAGUGAAAGGCUACGGCUCAACCGUAGUAAGCUCUUGAAACUGUAAGACUUGAGUGCAGGAGAGGAGAGUGGAAUUCCUAGUGUAGCGGUGAAAUGCGUAGAGAUAUGGAGGAACACCAGUGGCGAAGGCGGCUUCCUGGUCUGUAACUGACACUGAGGCGCGAAAGCGUGGGGAGCAAACAGGAUUAGAUACCCCCGUAGUCCCU
rnacentral:rRNA from 1 species